rnacentral:lncRNA from 1 species
GCUGCCUGGGUCGGCUGGGCCUGUGGGCCUGCGUCCGACAGCGCGCGGCCGUGCUUUCUAAGCGGGCUCGGCAGCACCAGACUUCACCGGCCCGGCGCGGGGCUCACAAGUGCUCGCACUCCCUGCGGCCGGCGCGCUGACCGGAGCCUCUGGGUCUCGCACGCAGCAGCUGCAGACGCUGCCCGGCGCGGUGGGGCUGUGAGCAAAACGGCCCGCCGGUGUGGUUGCCCAGACUGUGCUGGGCCCUCCUAGGUGGAUGGCCCUGCCCCAGCCUAACUUCUGUACCCCAGCAUAACCUCCAAAGUAACAGCCGUGCCCUGGGAGCCUGUUCAACACUGAACAUAUCCCACAAUAACACUGUUCCAGCGUCGCUGGUAAAAAGCAGAAAUGGCUUCGGUUAUUCAUUUUAAAUUGCAGCUGGAGGCAUCGACAAAUCUAAUGCAGUAACCUCAUUUUACAGAAGAGAACUCUAAGAGGAUAACUAACUUGGCCAAGAUCACAUGAUGUUUCUGGAUGAGAUUAGCAUUCAAAUUCGUGGACUCAUUAAAGUAGAUGGCUCUCUCCAAUAUGGGUGGGCAUCAUCCAAUCUGUUGAAGGCGUGAAGAGAACAAGAGAAGGAGGAAGGAAGAAUUCACCUUUUUUCUUGCUGCCCACCUGCUUGGGCUGGGACAUUGCAUCUCACCUUCUCCAGCCUUUGGAUGAGGAUUUACACCCUGGUUCUCAGGCCUUCAGGCUCUAACUGGAGCUACACUAUCAACUUUCCUGGGCCUCCAGAUUGCAGAUGGUGGAUCACGGUACUUUUUAGCCUCCAUCAUAAUAUGAGAAAAAAGAGGCACAGUGAAGCUAAAUAUAUUGGCUAAAGAUCACAAAGCUAUUACUAUUGGUGAGGAAUUUUGGAGUAAUUUGAUUGGGUGUUCUGGCUCAAGGGUCUCUUAUGAGUUUGCAGUCAGAUGUCAGCUGUGGCUACAUCAUCUGGACACAUGACUGAGGGUGGAACAUUCAAUUUCAAGGUAUCUCACUCAUAUGGCUGGUAAGUUGGUUCUGGCUGUUGGCUAAGAGUCUCAAUUUCUGGCCACAUGGGCCACUCCAUGAGGCUGCUUGAGUGUCCUCUCAACAUGGUGUCUGGAUCUUUGGAUUACAAAAGACUAAUGUGGAAUCUGCAAUGCCAUUUAUAAUUUAUCCUUGAAAGUUCACACACUUCUGCUGUACAAACUUCUGUUCUUACCCGUGACUCUUUUGUCAAGCUGUGUCUUGAUAAAUUGUAACACUUUUGAGUCUUUGAAGAAAGUGAUCUGUUUUUAGUGUGGGUACUUUAUAUUGAUCUCAAACACUUGUAGCAUAAUACUGGGAAGAUAAUGAGUCACUGAGUUUUAAAUCAUUACUUGAGUAAUGUUAAUGAACAUCUUUUGGGGUAUGUAUUUGAAUGCCAACUAGUUAUUGACUAUCCAAAAAGUGGUUUUCCUUGGUCUCUAGACAGGGACUUUGCAUUUGUCAAGAGUUCUUAAGUAGAUAGAAAGAAAGCAAGAUAAAUCAAUAGAUAGAUUUAGAUACAGCCAUAUGAGAGGGGAUUUAGUAGGGGAAUUGGCUUACAUGAUUAUGGAGGCUGAGAAGCCCCACAACAGGCCAUCUGCAAGCUAGAGACCCCAGGAUACCUGUAGCAUGUCUCAGUCUAAGUCCGAAGCCCUCAGAACCAGGGAGGCUGCUGUUUAACUCUCAGUCUGAAGCUGAAGGCCUGAGAACCUGGGGGGCCACUGGUAUAAGCCCUGAAGUUUAAAAGCCAGAGAGCCUGGAGUUCUGAUAUCCAAGGACAGGAGAAGAAUGUAUCUCAGCUCUAGAAGAGAGGAAAUUUAUUUUUGUUCUAUCUGGAUCCCCAGCCAAUUGGGUGGUGCCAGCUCACAUUGAGGGCAGAUCUUCACUGGUCAGUCUACUGACUCACACACCAGUCUCCUCCAGAAUCACCCUCACAGACACACCAAGAAAUGAUCCAUUACCAGUUCUCUAGAUAUUCCUUAAUCCGGUCAGGUUGGCACCUAAAAUUAACCACCACAGGGCUUUACUUUAUAUGUCUAACAUUCCUCAAAGAGUUCCUGGCCAAGGGAUAUUGUUGUGUUCAAUGGUAGAAUGCUAAAAUGCCUUUUAUCAAGACAGUUCCAUACUGCUUUUAAAAUGCUCUGGGCUAUUUCCAUUCUAAACUACUGAAGCAUACACUUGUGGAAAAGCAGCAAGAAUCCUAACACAUAAUCUAGUUGAGAGCAGAACUCAGAAAAUGAGACACUUAACAGGUAAGCAUUUGUCUUUGGGGUGAAACUUCCCUUUGUUUUAGUGUGGACAACUUGAGUGAAUUAUUUUAGUAAUGUAUUUGUAGAGCAAACACCUAUCCAUUUUUCUGGGGGAAGCCCAAGAUGUAAAGUAAUAAUCUCAAAUGCAAAAGUUUUAGAGUAAGAUAUUAAGUGUUUGUUUAAUAAUAUAAAUGUAGUGUAUUAGCAAGUUAAUGAAAAAAAAUCCUAAAUCUGGAUUUAGACUAUCCUUUACAUGAAAAUUAUUGUGUUAGUGGAAUUACAUGUCUUUUUGUUCAAGCAGCAUCGUUUCAAGGUUGGGAACCAUGGCAGGAAGAUCAUGCAGGUCUGGACUUCCUUUCCCCUCAAGGCAAAUAGAAUUCUGUGAUAAGGAUAUAGAGCGGCUUGAAGCUAGAUGAACUGGACCAUUGGUGUCCUACACAGAAGCUAUUUAAGAAGGAACAGCCCUGAUUUGGAAAAAUGUUUAACGACUCACUCUAGUGAUUGUCCCGGGUGUGUCUUUGAGAUGAGGGCAGCCUCAACCUGAAGGAACUGGGUUCUCAUAUUCCUGCCAUCCUGAGGUGAAAAAGAAAAGGGUCUUGGACAAUGGAGUGAAGGCAAUCAAUCCUUGUUUCUUGGGAGCAAAGAGGGAAUUGAGAUUGUCCUCUGGUAUAUGGAAGUGUCUGAAGAUUUCUGUGGAUGGGGGUGCAGCUGACUCCCACUCCUAUUAGAAAAAAUACCUGUGGGAGUCGGGUAGAGAGAGUCAACUUGUGUUUGGUCUGUGGCUUUCAAAGUAACCACCUUUAGUCAUGCUAUAGGUUGCCUUCUAGGGGUAUUCUAUUCUUUCAAAUCUUUUAGUGAAGCCUUAUUUAAAGGGAUAGCCCCUUCCUAGAUGUGCCUUGGGGGCAUUAAUGAAAGGAUCUAUGUCCAUGCUUGGGGUCUACAUGAUGCUGGGGAGGCAGAAAGAGUCUAGGGCAGGGGUUAGGUCUGAGCGGAGAUGCUGUGCAUGGAGUAGCCCAAUAAUCCAGAAACAGCAUCUGUCUGGGGGAUCCCAAGAAUUUGCAGAACUUGCCAUCAUUCCUCAGGUUUUCACUGCUAUACUUGAGAAAGUAACCAAAUGAAAGAUGUGACUUUCUGCUUUUACAGGGAUGUAGGUCAGGCUAUUGUCAUUUGGGCAUUGAAGAGAAGGUUGCCUUUGGAAAGCAGGAGAACUUGGGGGGAAUAGCUGACUUGCACAUCCUUCAAUACUCCACUUAGCUAUCAUUCCUUCUAACGUCUCCUCAGCUUCAUGUCUGAGUUCAGUGUCUUUUCUAGUGUUCCUUUAGUCCCCGGAUGCUAUCAUUUACACAAGCAAAUAAUAAUUACAACAGACUCUUAUUGAGUACUUACAUUGUGCCAAACACUAAGUUAAGUGCUUUACAUGGAUUAUCUCAUUCAGUAAUUUGGUAAUCUCUAUUUUUCAGCAGAGGACACUGAAACCUAGAGAAAUUAUGUGAUUUGCUUCAAGUCCUACAGAGGGACACUCAUAGAGCCAGAUUUUAAACCAAGAUGGUCUAGUCCAGAGCCAGUACAUGCAGGAUUUAGAAUAUACUCAUUUUAUUUUUCCCCUUUUCCAGUUUUUUUUUUUAAGUACUAUGAGCUUUCUUAGAAUAGUCUCUUUCCUUUAUAUCUGCAUCCUUAUCUUUUAGUAUAGGGCUAGGCACCUUAGUAAGUGUUUGACAAAUGUUUGUGAAAAGGAUAAAUGAAAGACAGAGCCUAAGGCAUAAAAUUUUAAGACAAUACACUGAAGCUGUUACAGUUUAUGAUUGAAUAAAUAAAGUACUCAGCUCUCCUCUUGGUA